GACGAACGCUGGCGGCGUGCCUAAUACAUGCAAGUAGAACGCUGAAGGAGGAGCUUGCUUCUCUGGAUGAGUUGCGAACGGGUGAGUAACGCGUAGGUAACCUGCCUGGUAGCGGGGGAUAACUAUUGGAAACGAUAGCUAAUACCGCAUAAGAGUAGAUGUUGCAUGACAUUUGCUUAAAAGGUGCAAUUGCAUCACUACCAGAUGGACCUGCGUUGUAUUAGCUAGUUGGUGGGGUAACGGCUCACCAAGGCGACGAUACAUAGCCGACCUGAGAGGGUGAUCGGCCACACUGGGACUGAGACACGGCCCAGACUCCUACGGGAGGCAGCAGUAGGGAAUCUUCGGCAAUGGACGGAAGUCUGACCGAGCAACGCCGCGUGAGGGAAGAAGGGUGUCGGAUCGUAAAGCUCUGUUGUAAGAGAAGAACGAGUGUGAGAGUGGAAAGUUCACACUGUGACGGUAUCUUACCAGAAAGGGACGGCUAACUACGUG
rnacentral:rRNA from 1 species